rnacentral:lncRNA from 1 species
AUUAGAGACCUUUUCUAUGGAAAGCUCAGUAAUUUUUAUUAAAAGAUUGCUACUGUUCAUGUAAAACAUGAAAAAAAGUUGUUUAGUGAACUGGCAGCAUGGAUUUAGGGUGGGAUUAAAUAUUCAGUAUUGUGCUCUCACUUCGGAGAACUUGCAGGAGACAAUUGUAGUGAUUGUUGGUUUUCCUCACCCACUGCAGUUUUGUUCCACUUCUUUCCUAGUCCCAGAUAAUAUUAGUACAAUGCAACAUCUCAACAGUAAGUGCCUCUGCCCCUGCUCUCCCCUCCCUCCCCAGCCUGGUCUGCAGUGCAGUGCACUGCCUUAGGCCACAACUCAAAAGCGC